GACGAACGCUGGCGGCGUGCCUAAUACAUGCAAGUUGAGCGAUGACGCUUUGUGCUUGCACCCUUUUGAAGAGCAGCGAACGGGUGAGUAACGCGUGGGUAAUCUGCCUUUGAUCGGGGGACAACAUCUGGAAACGAAUGCUACUACCGCAUAAUACCUUUAAACAUAAGUUUUAAGUUUGAAAGAUGCAAUUGCAUCACUCAAAGAUGAUUCCGCGUUUUAUUAGCUAGUUGGGGAGGUAAAGGCUCACCCAAGCGAAGGUACAUAGCCGACCUGAGAGGGUGGACGGGCACAAUUGGACUGGGACACGGCCCAAACUCCUACGGGAGGCAGCAGGAGGGGAACUUUGGAAAUGGACGGAAGUCUGAACGAGCAAAGACGGGUGAGGGAAGAAGGGUCUCGGAUCGUAAAACUCUGUUGGUAGAGAAGAAAGAUGGUGAGAGUGGAAAGCUCAUCAAGUGACGGUAACUACCCAGAAAGGGACGGCUAACUACGUG
rnacentral:rRNA from 1 species